rnacentral:rRNA from 1 species
AAAUUGAAGAGUUUGAUCAUGGCUCAGAUUGAACGCUGGCGGCAGGCCUAACACAUGCAAGUCGAACGGUAACAGGAAGCAGCUUGCUGCUUCGCUGACGAGUGGCGGACGGGUGAGUAAUGUCUGGGAAACUGCCUGAUGGAGGGGGAUAACUACUGGAAACGGUAGCUAAUACCGCAUAACGUCGCAAGACCAAAGAGGGGGACCUUCGGGCCUCUUGCCAUCGGAUGUGCCCAGAUGGGAUUAGCUUGUUGGUGGGGUAACGGCUCACCUAGGCGACGAUCCCUAGCUGGUCUGAGAGGAUGACCAGCCACACUGGAACUGAGACACGGUCCAGACUCCUACGGGAGGCAGCAGUGGGGAAUAUUGCACAAUGGGCG